rnacentral:rRNA from 1 species
GAUGAACGCUGGCGGCGUGCCUAAUACAUGCAAGUCGAGCGAACGGACGGGAAGCUUGCUUUUCUGAUGUUAGCGGCGGACGGGUGAGUAACACGUGGAUAACCUACCUAUAAGACUGGGAUAACUUCGGGAAACCGGAGCUAAUACCGGAUAAUAUUUUGAACCGCAUGGUUCAAAAGUGAAAGACGGUCUUGCUGUCACUUAUAGAUGGAUCCGCGCUGCAUUAGCUAGUUGGUAAGGUAACGGCUUACCAAGGCAACGAUGCAUGGCCGACCUGAGAGGGUGAUCGGCCACACUGGAACUGAGACACGGUCCAGACUCCUACGGGAGGCAGCAGUAGGGAAUCUUCCGCAAUGGGCGAAAGCCUGACGGAGCAACGCCGCGUGAGUGAUGAAGGUCUUCGGAUCGUAAAACUCUGUUAUUAGGGAAGAACAUAUGUGUAAGUAACUGUGCACAUCUUGACGGUACCUAAUCAGAAAGCCACGGCUAACUACGUG